rnacentral:rRNA from 1 species
GCCAUACCACCUUUGAAUAGGUGGCGCAACUAACGCAUUAAGUUCUCCGCCUGGGGAGUACGGCCGCAAGGUUAGAACUCAAAGGAAUUGACGGAACCUCAGAGGAUUUGACGGAUACUCAGAGGAUUUGACGGACACUCGUAGUAAUUGACGGAAGCUCUUAAGAAUCGGCGGUCAACCCUGGGAACUGCACUGAAUACUGGCAGAACUCGAGUGUGGUAGAGGCUAUUGGAAUUCCCAGUGUAGCGGUGAAAUGCGUAGAUAUUGGGAAGAACACCGGUGGCGUAGGCGACUAGCUGGGCCAUAACUGACGCUGAGGAACGAAAGCCAGGGGAGCGAAUGGGAUUAGAUACCCCAGUAGUCCUGGCCGUAAACGAUGGAUACUAGGCGUAUCGGGUAUCGACCCCUGAUGUGCCGCAGCUAACGCGAUAAGUAUCCCGCCUGAGUAGUACGGCCGCAAGGUUGAAACUCAAA